rnacentral:rRNA from 1 species
CCUUACACAUGCAAGUCGAACGGCAGGCACGGGAGCAAUCCUGGUGGCGAAUGGCGAACGGGUGAGUAAUAUAUCGGAACGUGCCCAGUCGUGGGGGAUAACGUAGCGAAAGCUACGCUAAUACCGCAUACGAUCUACGGAUGAAAGCGGGGGAUCGCAAGACCUCGCGCGAUUGGAGCGGCCGAUAUCAGAUUAGGUAGUUGGUGAGGUAAAGGCUCACCAAGCCGACGAUCUGUAGCUGGUCUGAGAGGACGACCAGCCACACUGGGACUGAGACACGGCCCAGACUCCUACGGGAGGCAGCAGUGGGGAAUUUUGGACAAUGGGCGCAAGCCUGAUCCAGUAAUGCCGCGUGCAGGAUGAAGGCCUUCGGGUUGUAAACUGCUUUUGUACGGAACGAAACGGUGAGCUCUAAUACAGUUUGCUAAUGACGGUACCGUAAGAAUAAGCACCGGCUAACUACGUG